GAUGAACGCUAGCUACAGGCUUAACACAUGCAAGUCGAGGGGUAACGAGAGGAAAGCUUGCUUUCCUUGUCGACGACCGGCGCACGGGUGAGUAACGCGUAUCCAACCUGCCCCCAACUAGGGAAUAACCUUGCGAAAGUAAGACUAAUACCCUAUAAUUUCCUCAGAUGUCAUCUGACGAGGAAUAAAGAUUUAUCGGUCGUGGAUGGGGAUGCGUCUGAUUAGCUUGUUGGCGGGGUAACGGCCCACCAAGGCAACGAUCAGGAGGGGUUCUGAGAGAAAGGUCCCCCCCAUUGGAACUGAGACACGGUCCAAACUCCUACGGGAGGCAGCAGUGAGGAAUAUUGGUCAAUGGGCGGAAGCCUGAACCAGCCAAGUAGCGUGCAGGAUGACGGCCCUAUGGAUUGUAAACUGCUUUUAUACAGGAAUAAAGUUAGCCACGUGUGGUUAUUUGUAGGUACUGUAUGAAUAAGGACCGGCUAACUCCGUGCCAGCCGCCGCCGUAA
rnacentral:rRNA from 1 species